rnacentral:rRNA from 1 species
AUGAAAAUUCUUCCACCAAGCCUAUCGAAGGCAACUAGCCUCCGGUUGCUUGUACUUGAUGGUUGUGAUGGACUAGAAAGCAUUGGUAGGCUCCCUCCCUCCCUUGAAUCAUUUAGCUUCAAUGGAUAUGGGCCAGCUUCUCAAUGGACAGAAACUGCUGAGCUACCUUCAAAACAAUUUCUUCCAUCCAGCAGAACAGAUAAUAAGGAUGUCAGAAUAUCCAAGAUCUCCUUAGCAGGCUGCACCCAGUUGGGGAAUUUGUACUUGUGUUGGCUACCCAACCUAGUGGAAUUGGACCUCUCUGGAACAUCAAUCAAGAUACUUGACUUCAAGACUAUGGUGGUGCAAAUCCCAAGGCUCAAGCGGCUGUUUCUAAUAGGAUGCAAGCACCUUCGUGCAAUAACCUUUUUGCACGAGAGUGUUCCUGACCUGGAGUUGCUGUGUGUAGACACACGAGCUGGAAUCGUGUGUCCUCUUCGGCCAUCCAUCAGCAAAAACAAACCUUUCAGGUUGCAGGUGCAUGGUGUUGUUGUAGAUGCAAGGCUUACUCACUCCUUGUCGAAUCUGAUCUUUAAUUAUAUACAAGGUGAUGUGCACUUUAAUAUCCAUGUCACAUCCUCACCUAUGUAUGACGGGGUUAUUCAAUUUGAAGCAACCAGCAAGGAUAUGAUUGGCCCCAGUGAUCAAGAGAGCCUGCAACUUAUUCCAACAGGCCGGUACAGUGAUGUCCUUGGGAUGGUUGGCGUUGUCCCAGUGCAGGCCUUUCCACAGCCUCCGACUACAAAGUUUGAUCGACAUGUAGAGAUUGCUGAUGGGAGCUUCUAUGUGGAGAGAGAACUUGACGAAGCACUAGGCGAACUGAUGGAAAAGCGUGCAGAAUCCCUGCAUGUGCAUGAUGUCUUGGUACAUGCUAUUCUGCCUAAAUACAGAUCGUGGAUGAAGCUUAGGUGGUGCUGCGUGGAGAGGUGCCCAAAAGUGGAUACUGUCUUCCCUGGGAAUCCAUACAGAUUUACUGCAUUGGAGACCUUCUGGGUGUCAGAUGUCCUAAUGGCCCGCUCGAUUUUUAGUAAAGGUUCACGCUUUAACCGAUAUGGUGAGAUUGGAUCCUUCAAAAAUUUACAGCACCUUCAGCUGCGUUCAUGCCCCAGCCUCCAGUUUGUGCUCCCUCUCUGGGUCUCCUCCUUCCCCAGCUUGGAGACCCUCCACAUCAUCCACUGCGGCGACCUCAACCACAUCUUCAUACUGGACGAAGAGUACCCUGAAGAAAUAACUAGCCACGGUGUACUAUUCCCGAAGCUGACCGCCAUCCACAUGCACGACCUACCGAAGCUGCAGGAGAUAUGCGAGGUCAAGAUGGUGGCCCCAAUGCUUGAGAGCCUCAAGAUCAGGGGAUGCUGGAGCCUGCGCCGGCUGCCAUCCGUGGGUGCCCGUGGCCAAGGCGAGAAGAAGCCGACGGUCGAGAUCGAGAAGGACGUGUGCGACGCUCUAGAGUGGGAUGCCGGUCACCACCCUGACCACUUCGAGGCACCGGUCCACUCGCGCUACUACAAGGAGAAGCUGCCCAGGGUCUCAGUGCUCAGGUGA